rnacentral:lncRNA from 1 species
AUUAGAAUUUAUUGAUUGACAAAAUUUGAAUUAAACUCCAUUAAAGGAGAAACAAUCAACUCCCUGAAAAGGAGGAAGAAAACAUCUCCAUACAAGGAGGAAAUCACUCCAUAAUAGGAGGAAAUGAAUCACUCCAUGAAAGGAGGAUGACAAACUCCAUAAAGGAGAAAAUGAAGCCUCCAUAAGGAGGGAUUGGAAUUCCACAUUCCAAUCAAACCAAAAAAAUGAAUACAAGAUCUGUAUUUAUAGAGAAAACAGGAGGCAGCCGAGAAGCUGAAACUGGAAGGAAUAUUCUGGAAUCUGUAAUAUUAUUUUGCUGAUGUGGAAUAUAUAUUCCAACA